GGGAGACACCUGGUCCGGCGGCGCGUACCGACCGAUAAACUGGUCGCGGACCACCACGCCGGGCGCAGCUCCCGGCCGGGUCCGUCAAUGCUCAGCCAGCAGCCGCUGCAACCCCAGGGAG
rnacentral:sRNA from 1 species